UACAGAGGGUGCAAGCGUUGUUCGGAAUUAUUGGGCGUAAAGGGCGCGUAGGCGGUGCGGUAAGUCUGCAGUGAAAUCUCUGGGCUCAACUCAGAGUCUGCUGUAGAAACUGCCGUGCUUGAGUGCCGGAGAGGGUGGCGGAAUUCCCGGUGUAGAGGUGAAAUUCGUAGAUAUCGGGAGGAACACCAGUGGCGAAGGCGGCCACCUGGACGGUAACUGACGCUGAGACGCGAAAGCGUGGGGAGCAAACAGG
rnacentral:rRNA from 1 species